UACGUAGGGUGCGAGCGUUGUCCGGAAUUACUGGGCGUAAAGAGCUCGUAGGUGGUUUGUCGCGUUGUUCGUGAAAACUCACAGCUCAACUGUGGGCGUGCGGGCGAUACGGGCAGACUGGAGUACUGCAGGGGAGACUGGAAUUCCUGGUGUAGCGGUGGAAUGCGCAGAUAUCAGGAGGAACACCGGUGGCGAAGGCGGGUCUCUGGACAGUUCCUGACGCUGAGGCGCGAAGGCCAGGGGAGCAAACGGG
rnacentral:rRNA from 1 species